rnacentral:rRNA from 1 species
GACGAACGCUGGCGGCGUGCCUAAUACAUGCAAGUUGAGCGCUGAAGGUUGGUACUUGUACCGACUGGAUGAGCAGCGAACGGGUGAGUAACGCGUGGGGAAUCUGCCUUUGAGCGGGGGACAACAUUUGGAAACGAAUGCUAAUACCGCAUAAAAACUUUAAACACAAGUUUUAAGUUUGAAAGAUGCAAUUGCAUCACUCAAAGAUGAUCCCGCGUUGUAUUAGCUAGUUGGUGAGGUAAAGGCUCACCAAGGCGAUGAUACAUAGCCGACCUGGGAGGGUGAUCGGCCAACUUGGGACUGAGACACGGCCCAAACUCCUACGGGAGGCAGCAGUAGGGAAUCUUCGGCAAUGGACGAAAGUCUGACCGAGCAACGCCGCGUGAGUGAAGAAGGUUUUCGGAUCGUAAAACUCUGUUGGUAGAGAAGAACGUUGGUGAGAGUGGAAAGCUCAUCAAGUGACGGUAACUACCCAGAAAGGGACGGCUAACUACGUGCCAGCCGCCGCCGUAA